rnacentral:tRNA from 1 species
GCCCAGGUGCGCCAUCGGUUGAGCGACUCGGCCUAAACCCGAGUGUUUGCAGGUUCGAUUCCUGCUCUGGGUAC